rnacentral:rRNA from 1 species
CCUACGGGCGGCAGCAGUGGGGAAUAUUGCACAAUGGGCGAAACCCUGAUGCAGCGACGCCGCGUGAAGGAAGAAGUAUUUCGGUAUGUAAACUUCUAUCAGCAGGGAAGAAAAUGACGGUACCUGACUAAGAAGCCCCGGCUAACUACGUGCCAGCAGCCGCGGUAAUACGUAGGGGGCAAGCGUUAUCCGGAUUUACUGGGUGUAAAGGGAGCGUAGGCGGUUUAGCAAGUCAGAAGUGAAAGCCCGGGGCUCAACUCCGGGACUGCUUUUGAAACUGGUGAACUAGAGUGCAGGAGAGGUAAGUGGAAUUCGUCGUGUAGCGGUGAAAUGCGUAGAUAUUAGGAGGAACACCAGUGGCGAAGGCGGCUUACUGGACUGUAAAUGACGCUGAGGCUCGAAAGCGUGGGGAGCAAACAGGAUUAGAUACCCGUGUAGUC